GGGCCAUUAGCUCAGUCGGUAGAGCACUUGACUUUUAAUCAAGUUGUCGCGCGUUCGAGUCGCGCAUGGCUCACCA
rnacentral:tRNA from 2 species